UACGUAGGUGGCAAGCGUUAUCCGGAUUUAUUGGGUGUAAAGGGUGCGUAGACGGAGAAACAAGUUGGUUGUGAAAUCCCUCGGCUCAACUGAGGAACUGCAACCAAAACUAUUUCCCUUGAGUGUCGGAGAGGAAAGUGGAAUUCCUAGUGUAGCGGUGAAAUGCGUAGAUAUUAGGAGGAACACCGGUGGCGAAGGCGACUUUCUGGACGAUAACUGACGUUGAGGCACGAAAGUGUGGGGAGCAAACAGG
rnacentral:rRNA from 1 species